rnacentral:lncRNA from 1 species
CUACUUCUCCUUUCUGGGGAAGAUAGGGCGACUAGCCCAAGUGGCCCGCCCGAUCUUCGGAUUCUGAAACUUCGACGAUGCUCUUUCCAGCCGCACUGAUGUCUGCGGCUACUGCUGCAUGGCCUGCACUGCUUCGGUGAGGCCCCUGACCUGCUGAACCAGCAAGUCGAAUUGCUCCAUGCCGACUGUUGUUGCCAGAGGAGGAG